UACAGAGGGGGCGAGCGUUGUUCGGAAUUACUGGGCGUAAAGGGCGCGUAGGCGGCCGGCUAAGUCAGACGUUAAAUCCCCAGGCUCAACCUGGGAACUGCGUCUGAGACUGGACGGCUCGAAUCCGGGAGAGGGAUGUGGAAUUCCAGGGGUAGCGGUGAAAUGCGUAGAUAUCUGGAGGAACACCGGUGGCGAAGGCGGCAUCCUGGACCGGUAUUGACGCUGAGGCGCGAAAGCCAGGGGAGCAAACGGG
rnacentral:misc_RNA from 1 species